rnacentral:lncRNA from 1 species
UGGCCGCAGCCGUCGCCGACCUCUCGCCCCUGCUGGCCUUCUCCAUACUGCUCAACAGCGUCCAGCCCGUGCUGUCAGGUGUCGCUGUUGGUGCCGGUUGGCAAGGCGUAGUCGCGUACGUCAACGUCACGUCGUACUACCUGAUCGGCAUUCCUCUUGGCGCAGUCCUAGGCUACGUGGUGGGGCUUCAUGUGAAGGUGAGGUGCUCUCAGAGCCUGGUAUAUAUACAUGUCCCAUGCAUGCAUGGUGUGUCUCUUAUUAUUAGUGCAUCCAGCUCGGCUCUAAUAAGUUGUCGAAAUGGACAUGUAUAUAUAUGGACAGGGCAUUUGGAUCGGAAUGCUGCUCGGAACGCUGGUCCAGACUAUCGUGCUUCUCUUCAUAACAGUAAAGACCGACUGGGACAAACAGGUUUGCUGCUUGCUCAGUGCGUGUGCGUUGUGCGUUGUGCUGUGGCUGAACAACUACAGUCUUAGCCGAGAACGGCAUUAAUGUGCUGAACUAUUAUGAACCCCCUCCCUCUCCCUAUCUGCAGGUGGUGGCCGCUCAAGAGAGGCUGAAGAAAUGGUACAUGGAAGAGAACAGAAGGAUGCAGGCCUCGAGGGGGAAUCCUUGAGCCGGUCCUUCAACCAACUUCAAGCCUGGCCUUUGUGGGUUGCUGAUUGACACAAUUUUAUGCUAAUAUUUCUACUAUUCAUCACCUCAACAUCAAAGUGAGCCCGGCAUUCCAGAUCGUGUGCUCCUCGAGCCAAGCAAUGGAAAGGCACUGUCACUGUCAGCAGCAGUAGGAUAACCAAAAAAAAACAUUGUGUUAUUUGCUAAGUGCGAGUUUGGCUCAAUUUUCGCUAAGUGAGAGAGAGCCUAUGUUGGCUAAGUGCGACUUUGGCUCAAUUUUGGGCGUAUGCUAAUAUGUUUCACAACAGGGCAGUGCUUGAGAUUUGGGAUAUCUGUAGCGCUAUAACUGACUCAAUUUUGGGCAUAUGCUAAUUUGCUAAGUGCGAACAAAUUCAUGCAGUUAUGGCCAUGCACUACUACACUUCGACAUGUGUGUGUAUAUACUCAGGUUCAUGAAAAUAGUGUGGUAGAUCGAUCGUGGGACUGAACCACAUAUUGAUCACAUCAAUUAGUAAUAAGGGACCUAGCGUCGUAUCGUAUCACAUUCUGCAACCAAACAUGAAAGGAACACAGAGAACACAACCAUAUUCACAGAGCACUACGCUAAUAACUGGAACAAAUUAUUUAGGUGCAAACUGUAUCGUCACCUUAAUCGAACUGGAGUGUCGACGACGAACAGGGCUACUGGAUGACAGGUAGUGUAGUUACGAAGCUGCAAUCACAACGUACAGGAAAAUAUUAGUAAGAAACUAAGAAUACAAGAUGAGGAAUGUUCGAAGUACUGAAUCGAACAGAUCACACCGAUAGCAUUUGAUACAUAUACAUCAAAGAAACACGAUUCGAAGGCAAAAAGGAAUCAAUGUCGCAGCCACAUAGCCGGACGUGGAAGGAUCCAUACCAAGUCAGAAGGGGGAACGAAUAGUACCAGAAGACGAUUCCGUGAAUAACAGCUAAUCGGCCGCGGCGAGAUGAACCACCGGGUACAGAAACAACACCCGCCAGUAAGGUAAGAGGGAAGGAUGGAAGCUUGGAGAGGGGGAAAACGCGAGAACCUGGUGGGGCGCGGCGACGACGGCCUAGCUGGAAGUGGCGGCGGUGAGCAGGCACGAAGGAUGAGAGCGGAACCCUAACGCGCGGGGGAGUGAGGCCACGGGUCUGCUCGGCCGAAUUUUUUUUUGUAUUUUAGCCCUUAAACAGAAGUAAAAUCACGUUUAGACCUAAAAAAAUUUUAAAUGCAGUUUUG